rnacentral:rRNA from 1 species
AUUGAACGCUGGCGGCAGGCCUAACACAUGCAAGUCGAACGGUAACAGGAAGCAGCUUGCUGCUUCGCUGACGAGUGGCGGACGGGUGAGUAAUGUCUGGGAAACUGCCUGAUGGAGGGGGAUAACUACUGGAAACGGUAGCUAAUACCGCAUAACGUCGCAAGACCAAAGAGGGGGACCUUAGGGCCUCUUGCCAUCGGAUGUGCCCAGAUGGGAUUAGCUAGUAGGUGGGGUAACGGCUCACCUAGGCGACGAUCCCUAGCUGGUCUGAGAGGAUGACCAGCCACACUGGAACUGAGACACGGUCCAGACUCCUACGGGAGGCAGCAGUGGGGAAUAUUGCACAAUGGGCGCAAGCCUGAUGCAGCCAUGCCGCGUGUAUGAAGAAGGCCUUCGGGUUGUAAAGUACUUUCAGCGGGGAGGAAGGGAGUAAAGUUAAUACCUUUGCUCAUUGGCGUUACCCGCAGAAGAAGCACCGGCUAACUCCGUG